UAGCAGCGAAAUGCGCCUCCUAAUACCAACGCGUCUCCUCGCUCGGCUCUGACUCACUGCCUGUUAUCUGGAUCUCAGAUUGCAGCUGUGGAAAAUGGAGUCCAUUCUUGAUGGUGAUCAAAUAAGGUACCGAUAUUUUGCUAUUUAAAAAAUAUAUAUUUUAGGUCUAACUGUUCGCAGAUACAUUUCUGCAGUAUGCAUUGCGUUUCUCAGAUUUUGUGUGCAAAUUGGCCUCCAUGGUCCGUGGAACUGCACUCCUGCAUUUGCAGCGGAAAACCUUCAAAAGAAUAAAAUGUGCAAACGUAUACUGUAGUUAUAAUAGUUCUGUCUGUACAACUAAUUGUUUAAAAUAUGUGAUAUAAAUGGUUCAAUGAGUUAAGAUAAAAUGAUUCUUCAUCCUGAAUGAAUAAAUAAUGUUUGUGAAUGUGUGAUUGUGAAACCUAGCAACAGAUGCUGAUGAGGUCAUAGCCCUUCACCUGUCUUUAUUGUGGCACAGGUGUAGGUGCUGUGCCACAUUUGAAACACUCACUUUUAUGUUUAGAAAGGAAAAUGACUCCUAAAGGUUCACAUACAUGUUAUGAUGCUUUGCAUGUCAUCUUCUGUUUCUCCUCUGUCAAUGUUGACUUGAAGGCACAAAGCAGAUGAAUUUAACAGUCUUCCUCCAUAAGAUGCACUUGGACAGAUGGACAGAAAGCAGACAGAUUGGGAGUGCUUUCCCUCCUCUGUUUCAGUUUUCAUUGACGUUCUGUUUUAUGAGGGAAGCUCGACUGUUGAAGAGACAAAGAUGCAGUAUUUUUUUCCCGUCUUUUGUUUUUGUUUCUUUUGGAGUUUUGCAUUAGUUUCUUGUUUCCUUUCUGACAAGGGCAGCAGAGGGAGGGAGAAUGCAGAGAAACAAAGACAGUAUUUCACUGGUGCUGCUCAGUCGAGCUCAACUGCCACUCAGUAUUUACAACCCACUGCAAUGCGGCACAGAAUCUGAGUAUGUGUGUGUGUGAGAGAGAGAGAGUGAGAGAGACAGAGAGAGCUUCUGUAUCCUGAUGGAGAUCUAAAGAAAGGUGGGAUACCAACUGAUGGUGGCCUCACACACAAAUGUAGACCAAACUGUUGUCCUGUAGAGGGAAGCAGAUGUGUAUGAGAGAAACAAAGAAACAAAGAGAAGCUAGGGAGACAGUGGUGCAACCAAAGAGG